CCUACGGGGGGCUGCAGUGGGGAAUAUUGGACAAUGGGCGAAAGCCUGAUCCAGCCAUGCCGCGUGUGUGAAGAAGGCCUUCGGGUUGUAAAGCACUUUCAGUGGGGAAGAAAGCCUUGGGGUUAAUACCCUCGAGGAAGGACAUCACCCACAGAAGAAGCACCGGCUAACUCCGUGCCAGCAGCCGCGGUAAUACGGAGGGUGCGAGCGUUAAUCGGAAUUACUGGGCGUAAAGCGCGCGUAGGCGGUCUGAUAAGCCGGUUGUGAAAGCCCCGGGCUCAACCUGGGAACGGCAUCCGGAACUGUCAGGCUAGAGUGCAGGAGAGGAAGGUAGAAUUCCCGGUGUAGCGGUGAAAUGCGUAGAGAUCGGGAGGAAUACCAGUGGCGAAGGCGGCCUUCUGGACUGACACUGACGCUGAGGUGCGAAAGCGUGGGUAGCAAACAGGAUUAGAUACCCUAGUAGUC
rnacentral:rRNA from 1 species